rnacentral:rRNA from 1 species
GGCAGACGGGUGAGUAACAUGUGGGUAUCUACCCUUUGGCCUGGAAUAACACGAGGAAACUUGUGCUAAUACCGGAUAAGUCUUUACGGAGAAAGCUUUAUGCACCAUUGGAUGAGCCUGCACUUGAUUAGUUAGUUGGUGGGGUAAUAGCCUACCAAGACUUUGAUCAAUAGCUGAUUUGAGAGGAUGAUCAGCCACAUUGGGACUGAGACACGGCCCAAACUCCUACGGGAGGCAGCAGUGGGGAAUCUUGCACAAUGGAGGAAACUCUGAUGCAGCGAUGCCGCGUGAGUGAAGAAGGCCUUUGGGUUGUAAAGCUCUUUCGUCGGGGAAGAAAAUGACUGUACCCGAAUAAGAAGGUCCGGCUAACUUCGUGCCAGCAGCCGCGGUAAUACGAAGGGACCUAGCGUAGUUCGGAAUUACUGGGCUUAAAGAGUUCGUAGGUGGUUGAAAAAGUUGGUGGUGAAAUCCCAGAGCUUAACUCUGGAACUGCCAUCAAAACUUUUCAGCUAGAGUUUGAUAGAGGAAAGCAGAAUUUCUAGUGUAGAGGUGAAAUUCGUAGAUAUUAGAAAGAAUACCAAUUGCGAAGGCAGCUUUCUGGAUCAUUACUGACACUGAGGAACGAAAGCAUGGGUAGCGAAGAGGAUUAGAUACCCUCGUAGUCCAUGCCGU